CACAACAAAGUAUAACGGAUAAUGAUACAACAUUGAAAGCACAAUACGAACCAAACACUAUAAACAGAAACACUGAUCUCCAAGGUAACUGAAAUUAUGCGCAAGUAACCCAAAACAUUAGCCAAGCAACGCUUACAAACAAUCAGAAUCAAAGCAACAACAUCGAAGACGUUACAGAAAUCAAAGAAAUGCUCAGACAAUCCAUUAAAAGUACGGAGAUGUUAAAAAAAAUGAUAUCAGCAAUAUAUGCACCACCGAGACACAAAAUGACACUUAAAAAAUGGGAAGAGUACUUCUAAUCCUUAGGCGACAAAUAUAUCGCAGUAGGAGACUUUAAUGCAAAGCACACGUUAUGGGGUUCGAGAAUUAAUACACCGAGAGGCAGAAUAUUAGAAAAAUACAUUAGAAACAGCAACCUCAAUGUACUAUCUACAGGAAGACCAACGUACUGGCCAACAGACCUCAAUAAAACACCUGACCUGUUGGAUUUUGCAGUAACAAAAGGACUAAUCGACAUCCUAGAUAAAAUCAGGGAAAAAAGAAAAGCGAAAGCAAAAUGGCAAAAACAGAGAACACGAGAAAACAAGAAAAACCUAAAUAAAUUUACAAAGGAAUUAAAGAAUAAAAUAAGGGAACAUCAUAAUAACGAAUUCUCAAAAUUUAUUAAAUCACUAUCCGCGCAUGAGAAUACCAACUACUCCCUAUGGAAAGUCACUAAAAAAGUUGAGAAAACAAUAAAAUCAAUCCCAGCAAUCAGAAAAAUGGACAACACAUGGGCCAGAAGCAACGAAGAGCAGGCAGAAGAAUUUUCGAAGCACCUACAAAAUACAUUUUCACCGUAUGAAAUUAAUAACAGUAUCCCCAGAUGGUAAACAAAUGAAGAAGUGGAAAAUGCCAGCAACACAACUGACAAACGCUGCACCAUACUCAGCACAACAGCGCAAGAAUAUACAGACUUAAUUAAGGCAACAAAGACAAGUAAAGCACCAGGAUUUGACUUGAUCAAUGGAAAAAUCUUAAAAAUCCUUCCCCCAAAGGCAAUAAGACUAACA
rnacentral:misc_RNA from 1 species